rnacentral:rRNA from 1 species
AGCAGCCGCGGUAAUUCCAGCUCCAAUAGCGUAUAUUAAAGUUGUUGUGGUUAAAAAGCUCGUAGUUGAACCUUGGGCCUGGCUGGCCGGUCCGCCUCACCGCGUGUACUGGUCCGGCCGGGCCUUUCCCUCUGUGGAACCCCAUGCCCUUCACUGGGUGUGGCGGGGAAACAGGACUUUUACUUUGAAAAAAUUAGAGUGCUCCAGGCAGGCCUAUGCUCGAAUACAUUAGCAUGGAAUAAUAGAAUAGGACGUGUGGUUCUAUUUUGUUGGUUUCUAGGACCGCCGUAAUGAUUAAUAGGGACAGUCGGGGGCAUCAGUAUUCAAUUGUCAGAGGUGAAAUUCUUGGAUUUAUUGAAGACUAACUACUGCGAAAGCAUUUGCCAAGGAUGUUUUCAUUAAUCAGGAACGAAAGUUAGGGGAUCGAAGACGAUCAGAUACCGUCGUAGUCUUAACCAUAAACUAUGCCGACUAGGGAUCGGACGAUGUUACUUAUUGACUCGUUCGGCACCUUACGGGA